UGGGGAAUAUUGGGCAAUGGGCGAAAGCCUGACCCAGCAACGCCGCGUGAGGGAAGAAGGUUUUCGGAUCGUAAACCUCUGUCCUUGGGGACGAAAGAAAUGACGGUACCCAAGGAGGCAGCCACGGCUAACUACGUGACAGCAGCCGCGGUAAUACGUAGGGGGCGAGCGUUGGCCGGAAUGAAUGGGCGUAAAGGGCGCGUAGGCGGCCUGUUAAGUCUGGAGUGAAAUUCCUGGUGUCAAGGUAGGAAGUGCUUUGGAAACUGGCGGGCUGGAGUGCAGGAGAGGUUAGCGGAAUUCCCGGUGUAGCGGUGAAAUGCGUAGAGAUCGGGAGGAACACCAGUGGCGAAGGCGGCUAACUGGACUGUAACUGACGCUGAAGCGCGAAAGUGUGGGGAGCAAACAGG
rnacentral:rRNA from 2 species